rnacentral:rRNA from 1 species
GACAGAGGGUGCAAGCGUUGUUCGGAAUCAUUGGGCGUAAAGGGCGCGUAGGCUGUUUUGUAAGUCGGAUGUGAAAGCCCAGGGCUUAACCUUGGAAGUGCAUCGGAAACUGUGAAACUAGAGUCUCGGAGAGGGUGGUAGAAUUCCCAGUGUAGAGGUGAAAUUCGUAGAUAUUGGGAGGAAUACCGGUGGCGAAGGCGACCACCUGGACGAAGACUGACGCUGAGGCGCGAGAGCGUGGGGAGCAAACAGG